UACGGAGGGUGCAAGCGUUAUCCGGAUUCACUGGGUUUAAAGGGUGCGUAGGUGGGCAAGUAAGUCAGUGGUGAAAUCUCCGGGCUUAACCCGGAAGCUGCCAUUGAUACUAUUUGUCUUGAAUACUGUGGAGGUCAGCGGAAUAUGUCAUGUAGCGGUGAAAUGCUUAGAUAUGUCACAGAACACCGAUUGCGAAGGCAGCUCACUAAAGUGUAACUGACGCUGAGGCACGAAAGCGUGGGGAUCAAACAGG
rnacentral:rRNA from 1 species